AAUCUCCCCCAAAUCGACCUGCCCAAAACAAAAUUCCCCACCUGCACCACCACCUCACCGAUCUGGCUUCCUCCCCAACCGGCGUAGUACGAGCUUCCUGGGUGGAGCCGGUGGACAUCCCCAUGGCGGAGCUGGCGUCCGGUCCCCAUAGCCUGGGGAACGAACGAGCUGCGGGCUGCGCCAUUGGUCGAGGCGCAUAGUUUCUUCUCGGCGAGUGCUGCUUGCCUUCUCCUCGAGCUGAUCCCCAGGUCCGACACCCCUCGACGCUGGCCAUCCCGGAGCUUCCCUCGUCGGCCCAGCAUAGGAUCUGCGGGGGAGAGCUGCUCCUCGAGGUCAUCCGGCAGGAUUGCUGCCCCUCGAGGUCAUCCGGCAGGAGAGCUGCCCCCCGAGGUCAUCCGGCAGGAUUGCCGCCCAGCCUCACGACGGCCAUGUCGGGCUGGUGGUCCAAUGUGAGGAUGAUGAUUCGGCACAGGCCAUGGACGAAGUUAUAAUUUGAAGCGCGUUUUAAUUAACACAGCCUUUGCUCAUACAGACAAAGGAGAAGUGUGGUGUACAGGUAGGGAUAUCGAAUGGUGAAACUAUAUACUUAAAAGCAUGGUUGCUUUCCAGCCAACAACUAUUGUUGGGGUAUGGCAAAUACUGGAUCACGGCAUUGCAGAAAAGCUAUAUGCUUUAAGUAAUUGUCCCUGUAUCAUAUCAGUUGAGAAAACAUGUAUUUCCCUUUGAAAGAUGUUCAAGUAACUAAAGUAUUGUCCCUGGAACAUAUAUUUCAACAAGUUCUACUAUUCCGGUGACGCUUUCUAGCAUCUCAACUUUCAGAGUAGAGUAAUCUUGAUUUUAGUGUAUCUUGUGCUAAUUCAUCAUUGGAACUCAAUAGUGACAUGCUGUAUUUCGUAGCCAUGCCUAAAGUUCAGUCAAACGGAACAACUAAAAUCUGAUGUAUAAUCUCGACAAUGGUAAGAGAUAAGAAUUGACAGAUAUUACCUGCUAGUUCGUUGGCUGAAGCAAUGAAGUAGGUUGCAUCGCUGACUCGUCGUUCGAAUCAGAUCGUGAGUGGCAGUGCAGGGAGAUCAGAGGGAGAUGGUGGCAGUGCAGGGAGAUCAGAGGCAGAUGGGUGGCGGCGGCGGCGGUGUCUUAUCUGACCCACGUUGAAACUAAUCACGAUGAGAGAAGGUAGUUCCGUUGUUUCAGAGAUCAGAGGCAGAUGGACGGCGGCGACGACGGCUAAUCUGACCCACGUUGAAACUAAUCAUGAUGAGAGAAGGUAGUUUAGCUGUUUCAGGAGACAAGAUUGAUCUAGAUCUGAACGACAGUGGGCUUUUAGUAUGGGCUUUUUAAUUAUAUUCUUUUCAUGUAUAUGUAAACGAUGGAUAGGGGUCCAAGUAUCAACGUGAAAGGUUGUGUACA